AAGGCGAUGAUGCAUAGCCCGAGUUGAGAGACUGAUCGGGCCACAUUGGGACUGAGGACACGGGCCCAAACUCCUACGGGAGGCAGCAGUAGGGGGAAUCUUCCACAAUGGACGCAAAGUCUGAUGGAGCAAAACGCCGCGUGAGUGAAGAAGGGUUUCGGCUCGUAAAAGCUCUGUUGUUGGUGAAGAAGGACAGGGGUAGUAAACUGACCCUUUUGUUUGACGGUAAAUCAAUUUAGAAAGUCACGGGGCUAACUACGUGCCCAGCAGCCGCGGUAAAU
rnacentral:rRNA from 1 species